rnacentral:tRNA from 1 species
UGGGGAAUCGUCUAAUGGUAGGACAGCGGACUUUGACUCCGUCAGUCUAGGUUCGAGUCCUAGUUCCCCAA